UAAAUCCUGCGAUGUACGUUACGAUUUUAAGUUGUUUUGAACCAAUGACUGUUUCUAGGGAGACCUACAUUGAACUGCCGCUGACAUGCCCCCAAAAAGGGACUUCAAAAGCAGUUUUGCGGACACCCACCUGCGAGAGCGGGUUUGAAACGCGAAAAUCGGACGGCAUUUGCGGGUUUUUU
rnacentral:other from 1 species